CAAAAAGACCAUUCCAAAACAUGGCUAUUUAUGUCAUUAAGGUGGAAUAUGGGAACAUGCUUUCUGUAGAAGACAGCCAGAAGGCAAGAAUUAGUGGAGCUAGGGCAGGAGAGGAGGCAGAGGAGGAUACGUUAGUGUUUAUGCUGCGUAGACACCUCAAAGGGUGCACAGGUGCAGGUAGAGCAAAAGCCACAGGGGUGGUUACCCAGCAGUACAUUUCCUAUGAAUACAGAGUUGGCUAAAAGAUGGUGUUAAUUUUUGCAGGUGUUCUUAAGAAAUAGCUUAAGAAAGUUGGACUUGAGACUGAACAUAAGAUGGAAAUUUAUGUUUAGAAGGAACAGAAGGUUGCACGAUUUUAAUGGCAAAGGAAUAUGGCUAGAGCUUUCAGAAGUAAAGGAAGUCUCAAAUUACACGUUGCAAACCAUCUCCUUGCUGCUUAGGAGAGGAGCACUCGGCGCAUUUACAGUUUGUGGGAGCAUUUUAAGGGCUAUUUACCCUCAGAGCCUCAGCUGGGAGUAUCACUUCCGCCUCUACCUCCCGAGAGGCAGGGCCAGCUGUUCCUCCCCAGUCAUGGUGCUGCCUGCUUCUGAGCAGGGACAGUUCUCAGCGUCUCCUAAACAGGGUCUGUGCUGAACAUGUGACAACUUCUCUUCCAACCCACAAGUAUAGGCAAUAGGCACAUUUUAUGAACAAAGGAAUUAGGAAGCGGUACUUUGUCAAGACUGAGUUCAACAUCAAGAAAAAUAAGUACAAACAGAAGAAGCCCUGAAGCAAGAUACAUAUGCUGAUGGUUGUUGAAGCCGAGAGCUGGGGAGUGGGGGCCCUAGUAUGAUUCUCCCUAAUUCUGCAUGUUUGGAAAUAUCCAUAAAACAAAAUUUUUUAAUGCAAAAACAGAAUUAAUAAAGCUUGGCCAGGAGAAAAGGUAUAUCUUCUUUCUCUAAUCUGCUUUGAAUUACUUGACAGCGUCCCUUCAGAAUAGAAAACACUCCCGAUGGCACACUCUACUCUGGAAGUCCUUCCUUAGCUCCCACUACCUCCCAUGGCCUUAGUGUCUUCAGAUGCCCUCAGCUUUCCUCCUUCUCUUCCACAGGAGCCUGUUCGGGUCCUCAGGAAGAUGUACAAGGAGGUCAUUUCAAAUGUCAUGAAGUAAUCCCCGUGCUCUCUUCGCUGUGACAGUGUGUGCAUUUCUCAGUUACUUUUUCCUGUGUAAAAACGCUUCUCUUACAUGUCGUCUGCACUGCCUCUGCGUUUUCUUAUUAGCUGAAGAAAUGUUCAUCUCUAUUUAGACUCCAGCUCCACAUCUGCUUUAUGCUGCUCCAUCU
rnacentral:lncRNA from 1 species